CAGAGCACUCCUACGGGAGGCAGCAGUGGGAUAUUGCACAAUGGGGGGAAACCCUGAUGCAGCCAUGCCCGCGUGNUGAAGAGGCCUUCGGGGUUGUAAAGCACUUUUCAGUAGGGAGGAAGGUAGUGUAGUUAACACCUGCAUUAUUUGACGUUACCUACAGAAGAAGCACCGGCUAACUCCGUGCCAGCAGCCGCGGUAAUACGGAGGGUGCGAGCGUUAAUCGGAAUUACUGGGCGUAAAGCGCAUGCAGGCGGCCUGUUAAGUCAGAUGUGAAAGCCCGGGGCUUAACCUCGGAAUUGCAUUUGAAACUGGCAGGCUAGAGGUCUUGUAGAGGGGGUAGAAUUUCAGGUGUAGCGGUGAAAUGCGUAGAGAUCUGAAGGAAUACCAGUGGCGAAGGCGGCCCCCUGGACAAAGACUGACGCUCAGAUGCGAAAGCGUGGGGAGCAAAACAGGAUUAGAUACCCUGGUAG
rnacentral:rRNA from 1 species